UUUUUUAAUGAGAAACUAUUCUUUCAUUGAGAAAAAAUGAUGAGGGGAAUACAAAAAAAACCCAAUCCUCUAAAAGGAGCCAAACUAAAAUGAGCCGAACUUAAAUAACAAGGGGCUUCACUCAACCAAAAUAAAACCUAGAAGAUAACUACACAUAUAUUUAUACACCAAGCCUAGAAAGAGGUAUGAAACCUAACAAGGGACAAAACUUCUUCCUAAGAUCUCUUAGUCUCUGUAAAAAUUUUAUUGUUCUUUUGUUCACGUGUGCUCUAUUCCUAGUUGGAAUAACUAUUGAUAUUAUCUAUGUUGAGUUAUCCUUUACUUGAUUCUUUGAAUUGGAAUCAUUUGAACAUGCUUUGUAGAAAGAAAUGUUUAUCAUUUUAGCCCCUAAAUUAACUCGUACAUUUUUUCUUGUUCCUCAUAUCUAAUAUUUCUGUACUGGAUUGGCAAGAAAAGUUUGGUUUCUUGUGAAUGACCUAUGAAUAGAGGAACAUUUGGGUUUUGCUCACUACUUGAUAUAAUAAUACUGACAGGCUGAAACCUUAAUAGGGUACAUUUGAGAAGUUUCAGCGUUUAAAUAUUGUUUUUUAAAAAGCAUGUCAACAUUGUGAAAUUUUUUCGGAACGGAUUAAUUUAGGAUCUCUAUUCCAAGUUCAAUUAAUUUCAUUUGCAAGUUAUUUGAACUCCAAAUUUGGAGACCAAAUAUUUUUUAAGGAAUUUUACUACUUUCUACAUGGGCACUGUUUAGAUUUUUCGUUCAAGUCUACAAUUAGGGAUUGGGGUUCUUCAGUAAUGUUCUGAUGAGAUAUAGCACUGAAAACUAAAUGUAGCUAUUGUUAAACAUACAUUUGAAUGAUUAUGCUCCCUAAACAUUUUUUGGCUGAUCUUUUUUCCCUUGUUAAUCAUAUAGAGUACAGCAGGGUUGGAGUACCUGUGACAUUCUUGCAAGUAAUGCAGUUGUUGCUUCAAAGCUGCUGCCUCUCUUUUCCAAAACUAGCAAUUAUAGAAAAGAUGAUCAGCAUUGCAGUUUUACUUGUAGCAUGAUAAAUGAAGAUUUUACCUGGAGUUCUGAAACAGAGUUAAUCAGCUGAUUUUGCUCCUCUUUCACCUUGUAGUAACGAUCGGUAAUUGAUCUUAUGCUGAUAAGAUAGAAACUGUUAAUUCAGUUCAUAACCACACCUGAAAUCAAAUCUUGAAUUUUUAAUUGCCAUGUCACCAUCAUAAGGAUUUAUUACGUGAGUUGUGAAUAUAAUCUGCUCAUAGCAUGCUGUAGAGUGAUCGGUUUGUUCGCUAUCUCGUAUAAGCACGUCGAGUUUGGGUGCUUGUCAGUUAUUGAAACUCACCCAAACUCCUAUUUCACAUAAUAUUUCAAAUUAGAUAGAGAAUCUCAAUGCCUUUCUUUCAGAAGCCAUGGAACUUUGUACAAAGACGUUACGAAGAUGGAUCGGUACAAUUUUCCUAACUUAGCUGCAAUUUAUGCUGUAUUUUUUCUGGUAAGGGUUGUGAUCUGUGUUGCUUGAAGGCUAUGAUGGCUUGAUUCUGAUUAUGGUGUUCUUUUAGUAUGACAUGGCCACAGUGCUUUGUGUUCUCAUGCCUGAUAGGUUUGAGGGAAAUAUCUAAUAAAUGUUUUUUGUAACUUAGUUUACAGAAAGGGAAAACCAAUUACAGUAUAGAUUGAUACCAGCAUAGUACUCUUAUCUCUUAUUCCUACUUAAUAAAUAAAUAAACAUCUGCAACAAUAGAUGGAAAUUUUUGUU